UACGUAGGGGCAAGCGUUGUCCGGAAUCAUUGGGCGUAAAGAGCGUGUAGGCGGCCUGGUAAGUCCGCUGUGAAAGUCCAGGGCUCAACCCUGGAAUGCCGGUGGAAACCUGUCAGGCUCGAGUCCGGAAGAGGCGAGUGGAAUUCCGUGGUGUAGCGGUGAAAUGGCGCAGGAUAUCAGGAGGAACACCAAUGGCGAAAGCAGCUCGCUGGACGGUAGCUGACG
rnacentral:rRNA from 1 species